CGGGGCGUGGCGCAGUCUGGUAGCGCAUCCGCUUUGGGAGCGGAAGGUCCCCGGUUCAAAUCCGGGCGCCCCGA
rnacentral:tRNA from 1 species